UACGGAGGGGACUAGCGUUGUUCGGAAUUACUGGGCGUAAAGCGCACGUAGGCGGAUUUGUAAGUCAGGGGUGAAAUCCCGGGGCUCAACCUCGGAACUGCCUUUGAUACUGCAAAUCUCGAGUCUGGAAGAGGUGAGUGGAAUUCCUAGUGUAGAGGUGAAAUUCGUAGAUAUUAGGAAGAACACCGAUGGCGAAGGCAGCCUCCUGGGCCAGCACUGACGCUGAGGCGCGAAAGCGUGGGGAGCAAACAGG
rnacentral:rRNA from 1 species